rnacentral:rRNA from 1 species
GAUGAACGCUGGCGGCGUGCCUAAUACAUGCAAGUCGAGCGAACGGACGAGAAGCUUGCUUCUCUGAUGUUAGCGGCGGACGGGUGAGUAACACGUGGAUAACCUACCUAUAAGACUGGGAUAACUUCGGGAAACCGGAGCUAAUACCGGAUAAUAUUUUGAACCGCAUGGUUCAAAAGUGAAAGACGGUCUUGCUGUCACUUAUAGAUGGAUCCGCGCUGCAUUAGCUAGUUGGUAAGGUAACGGCUUACCAAGGCAACGAUGCAUAGCCGACCUGAGAGGGUGAUCGGCCACACUGGAACUGAGACACGGUCCAGACUCCUACGGGAGGCAGCAGUAGGGAAUCUUCCGCGAUGGGCGAAAGCCUGACGGAGCAACGCCGCGUGAGUGAUGAAGGUCGUCGGAUCGUAAAACUCUGUUAUUAGGGAAGAACAUAUGUGUAAGUAACUGUGCACAUCGUGACGGUACCUAAUCAGAAAGCCACGGCUAACUACG